rnacentral:rRNA from 1 species
GUGUCAGCAGCCGCGGUAAUACGAAGGUGGCAAGCGUUGUUCGGAUUUACUGGGCGUAAAGGGAGCGUAGGCGGUCUGGUAAGCCCUCCGGGAAAUCUCCCGGCCUAACCGGGAAAGGUCGGAGGGGACUGCUUGACUAGAGGGCGGGAGAGGAGCGCGGAAUUCCCGGUGUAGCGGUGAAAUGCGUAGAGAUCGGGAGGAAGGCCGGUGGCGAAGGCGGCGCUCUGGAACGAUCCUGACGCUGAGGCUCGAAAGCGUGGGGAGCAAACAGGAUUAGAAACCCUCGUAGUCC